GGAGUAGUAGUCUAGAGGUUAUGACACCUGCCUGUCACGCAGGGGGUCGCGGGUUCGAGUCCCGUCUACUCCGCCA
rnacentral:tRNA from 1 species